rnacentral:rRNA from 2 species
AGACCCGAAACCCGGUGAUCUAGCCAUGGGCAGGUUGAAGGUUGGGUAACACUAACUGGAGGACCGAACCGACUAAUGUUGAAAAAUUAGCGGAUGACCUGUGGCUGGGGGUGAAAGGCCAAUCAAACCGGGAGAUAGCUGGUUCUCCCCGAAAGCUAUUUAGGUAGCGCCUCGUGAAUUCAUCUCCGGGGGUAGAGCACUGUUUCGGCUAGGGGGCCAUCCCGGCUUACCAACCCGAUGCAAACUGCGAAUACCGGAGAAUGUUAUCACGGGAGACACACGGCGGGUGCUAACGUCCGUCGUGAAGAGGGAAACAACCCAGACCGCCAGCUAAGGUCCCAAAGUCAUGGUUAAGUGGGAAACGAUGUGGGAAGGCCCAGACAGCCAGGAUGUUGGCUUAGAAGCAGCCAUCAUUUAAAGAAAGCGUAAUAGCUCACUGGUCGAGUCGGCCUGCGCGGAAGAUGUAACGGGGCUAAACCAUGCACCGAAGCUGCGGCAGCGACGCUGAUGCGUUGUUGGGUAGGGGAGCGUUCUGUAAGCCUGUGAAGGUGGCCUGUGAGGGUUGCUGGAGGUAUCAGAAGUGCGAAUGCUGACAUAAGUAACGAUAAAGCGGGUGAAAAGCCCGCUCGCCGGAAGACCAAGGGUUCCUGUCCAACGUUAAUCGGGGCAGGGUGAGUCGACCCCUAAGGCGAGGCCGAAAGGCGUAGUCGAUGGGAAACGGGUUAAUAUUCCCGUACUUGGUGUUACUGCGAAGGGGGGACGGAGAAGGCUAUGUUGGCCGGGCGACGGUUGUCCCGGUUUAAGCGUGUAGGUGUGUGUUCCAGGUAAAUCCGGUUCACUUUAACACUGAGGCGUGAUGACGAGGCACUACGGUGCUGAAGCAACAAAUGCCCUGCUUCCAGGAAAAGCCUCUAAGCAUCAGGUAACAUCAAAUCGUACCCCAAACCGACACAGGUGGUCAGGUAGAGAAUACCAAGGCGCUUGAGAGAACUCGGGUGAAGGAACUAGGCAAAAUGGUGCCGUAACUUCGGGAGAAGGCACGCUGACACGUAGGUGAAGUGAUUUACUCAUGGAGCUGAAGUCAGUCGAAGAUACCAGCUGGCUGCAACUGUUUAUUAAAAACACAGCACUGUGCAAACACGAAAGUGGACGUAUACGGUGUGACGCCUGCCCGGUGCCGGAAGGUUAAUUGAUGGGGUCAGCGCAAGCGAAGCUCCUGAUCGAAGCCCCGGUAAACGGCGGCCGUAACUAUAACGGUCCUAAGGUAGCGAAAUUCCUUGUCGGGUAAGUUCCGACCUGCACGAAUGGCGUAAUGAUGGCCAGGCUGUCUCCACCCGAGACUCAGUGAAAUUGAACUCGCUGUGAAGAUGCAGUGUACCCGCGGCAAGACGGAAAGACCCCGUGAACCUUUACUAUAGCUUGACACUGAACAUUGAGCCUUGAUGUGUAGGAUAGGUGGGAGGCUUUGAAGUGUGGACGCCAGUCUGCAUGGAGCCGGCCUUGAAAUACCACCCUUUAAUGUUUGAUGUUCUAACGUGGACCCGUGAUCCGGGUUGCGGACAGUGUCUGGUGGGUAGUUUGACUGGGGCGGUCUCCUCCUAAAGAGUAACGGAGGAGCACGAAGGUUGGCUAAUCCUGGUCGGACAUCAGGAGGUUAGUGCAAUGGCAUAAGCCAGCUUGACUGCGAGCGUGACGGCGCGAGCAGGUGCGAAAGCAGGUCAUAGUGAUCCGGUGGUUCUGAAUGGAAGGGCCAUCGCUCAACGGAUAAAAGGUACUCCGGGGAUAACAGGCUGAUACCGCCCAAGAGUUCAUAUCGACGGCGGUGUUUGGCACCUCGAUGUCGGCUCAUCACAUCCUGGGGCUGAAGUAGGUCCCAAGGGUAUGGCUGUUCGCCAUUUAAAGUGGUACGCGAGCUGGGUUUAGAACGUCGUGAGACAGUUCGGUCCCUAUCUGCCGUGGGCGCUGGAGAACUGAGGGGGGCUGCUCCUAGUACGAGAGGACCGGAGUGGACGCAUCACUGGUGUUCGGGUUGUCAUGCCAAUGGCACUGCCCGGUAGCUAAAUGCGGAAGAGAUAAGUGCUGAAAGCAUCUAAGCACGAAACUUGCCCCGAGAUGAGUUCUCCCUGAGACUUAGAGUCUCCUGAAGGAACGUUGAAGACGACGACGUUGAUAGGCCGGGUGUGUAAGCGCAGCGAUGCGUUGAGCUAACCGGUACUAAUGAACCGUGAGGCUUAACCUUACAACGCCGAAG